UACGAAGGGGGCGAGCGUUGUUCGGAAUUACUGGGCGUAAAGGGCGCGCAGGCGGCCCUUGAAGUCAGGCGUGAAAGCCCCGGGCUCAACCUGGGAAUGGCGAUGGAUACUGGCUCGCUAGAGUGCGGUAGAGGAGAGUGGAAUUCCCGGUGUAGCAGUGAAAUGCGUAGAGAUCGGGAGGAACAUCAGUUGCGAAGGCGGCUCUCUGGACCAGCACUGACACUGAGGCACGAAAGCGUGGGGAGCAAACAGG
rnacentral:rRNA from 1 species